rnacentral:rRNA from 1 species
CAGUCGCCACGGUAAUACGGAGGGAGCUAGCGUUGUUCGGAAUCACUGGGCGUAAAGCGCACGUAGGCGGCUAUUCAAGUCAGGGGUGAAAGCCCGGGGCUCAACCCCGGAACUGCCUUUGAAACUAGAUAGCUUGAAUCUUGGAGAGGCGAGUGGAAUUCCGAGUGUAGAGGUGAAAUUCGUAGAUAUUCGGAAGAACACCAGUGGCGAAGGCGACUCGCUGGACAAGUAUUGACGCUGAGGUGCGAAAGCGUGGGGAGCAAACAGGAUUAGAGACCCCUGUAGUCCCUGUCUCUUAUAU